UCCCAUGACAAAAAAAAUCUGAACUAGAAUCCAUGAAUUGGAAAAUUAUCGAUUGGAAAUUUCCCCCGCGUCCGAUUUUUCCCUCAAAUUUAAUCCGAGCUGGCAGUCGGAGAUCCAGCGUGUCUUCGCCGUCCGUUAAAUGAAACGACGCCGUUUGACAUUUAAUUAAAACGGUGUCGUUUUAAUUGUGGCUAUUGACAAAUUAACCCAA
rnacentral:lncRNA from 1 species